UCUCCAAAUUUAAACAUAAGAACUUAGACAACAACAACAACAAAAUGCUGACCAACGAAUGGAAUGACAUUUUGUUGUGCUUAGUUAUGAAAUCUAAUUUUAUGUAACAAAAAGCAAGAGGUAUAUUUAUUUUUUGGCAUUUAUUUAGAAUAGAACUUCAUCCUGCAAAGCAAAUCCGAUUAUGGUGGCUUAAGUGGUUAAGGAUCUGAGUUGUUGGUUAGAGAAUCAUCAUUGUUCAACCCACUGCACUGCCAAGCUGCCAAAGUUGGGCCCUUGAGUGAGGCCCUUAACUCUCUCUGCUCCAGGGGUGCUGUAUCAUGGCUGACCCCAAGCCCAAAGUUAGGAUAUAAAUGGACGUUUACUUCUCACUUCUCUGGUCUUCAAAUCUCUUCUAAAAUCCAGAAUAAAAAACUUUCACCUUCUGCUUUCGGAAAGUCCUGGUCUGAACAGGUCAACCUUCCCAAUUACGUGGCUUUGGCUUUCCCAAGGUGCCGGGAUUGAUAAGCGUAUCUGUAGGAAAAGCUGAAAGAAUUGUUCAUUCACACAGCCUCGACCCCUGACCCACGUUACGUGAACGCUCCAAAGUCGUGCGCAGUCGUGCGAAUCUUAAGAUCUGCAAAGCUCAGCACUGUUUUACACAGGAAAUGGAAAUGAAACUCCGUCUGACUUUUCAAAGUCCCGAGGGUCUAAUCAAUCAUCACUUUAAUGUUUGGCAUUCGGAAAGGAAGAAGGGAGGAGAAAAAAAAAUAGGAAAACUGUCAGAAUGAGCAGGGAAGGUAGUGAACACUCACGCUUCGUGUCAAUAAAGUCAAUGAGGACAUAACACAAUGACUUGAAUGAUGAUAGAAAAGCCCAGACCACACCACACGUUUCGGGAAAAAAAUUCUUUUUUUUCUUUUUUUUUUUCUUUUUAGUCUGGGAAAUUGAAUCGUUUUUUUGUAAGAACCUUCUAAAAUGGAGAAAUGAUUCAAACAAUAAACUCCAUCUUAACAUCGUUUUCAAAACUCGGACAUCACGGCAUCAAUUUGCAUGUACGCUUUGGGCCUUACAGGAAUUCCUCGAGUAAUAAUUAAGACAUUAUUUUGUCAAUGUUCUGUUUGUUGUGGUUGUUGUUCAUUUUGCUUUGUAUGCAUUUGUACUGUUUGUUGUAGUUAUUCUUCAUUUUGUUUGUUUUUUUUCUUUCUGGAUCUGUUUGUCAGCUUUAUUGUUCUAGAUUAUUGUUGUUAACAUACAUCUGCAUUUAUUUGUUUGUUUGUUUGUUUGUUUGUUUGUAGCCUUAAUUGUGAUGUCUAUCAUUUUGUUUGUCAUGUUUAUUCCUCUGUUUGUUUGACAUUUUUUAUUGUUUGUUAUGUGUAUUAUUGUUUGUUGUGCUAUUCUACUUGGUGUUGCUAUUUUUUGUUUUGUUUCAUUGUAAGAUUAAUUCUGUCAUGCUAACUGAUCUGUUUUAUUUUUGUUUAUCAUGUUUAAAUAAAAUUUCGUUUUGUUCUGUUUAUUUUUA